GCCCAGGUGGCGGAAUAGGUAGACGCAAGGGACUUAAAAUCCCUCGGUCGCAAGACCGUGCUGGUUCAAGUCCAGUCUUGGGCA
rnacentral:tRNA from 1 species